UAACAAGGAUUCCCCGAGUAACGGCGAGUGAAUCGGGAAGAGCCCAGCACCGAAUCGCCCGGCGUCCGCCGGCGCGACAUGUGGUGUUUAGGACGAUCUAUGUGGCGUCGCUCCGCCGUCCAAGUCCUCCUGAUCGGGGCUUCGCCCGCGGCGGGUGUCAGGCCCUUAGCGGCGGCGGGCUGCGUCCCUAUGAGCGUCCUUGGAGUCGGGUUGUUUGAGAAUGCAGCCCCAAGUGGGUGGUAAACUCCAUCUAAGGCUAAACACUGACACGAGUCCGAUAGCGGACAAGUACCGUGAGGAAAGUUGAAAAGAACUUUGAAGAGAGAGUUCAAUAGUACGUGAAACCGUUCAGAGGCAAACGGGUGGAACCGCAAAGUCUGGCCGGGGAAUUCAACCCGUCCGGGGAGCGGUGGUCGCGGAGUACCGGAACCAUUGGUACGGCUCCGCGGCCAGCCGCCUCCCGACGGGCGCACUUUCCCCGGCGAGAGCGCCACGACCGGUUGCCCGGCCGCCGCAAUCCCGCGAGAAAGGUGACCCGCCUCCGGGCGGGUGUUAUAGUCUCGCGAGGCGUUGGUCGGCCGGACGACCGAGGCACACCGCCGCUCCCGCCCUCGGGCUCGGUCUGCCGGCCUGCGCCGUCGGUUCGACUGGGGUGGACUGCACGCAGUGCUCCCCGACCGCCGGCGGCGUCGGACCGGCCAGGACCGAGCAGGAGCCAAGGGUCUGUGGCGUCCCGGUCGGCCCUCCACCCGACCCGUCUUGAAACACGGACCAAGGAGUUUAACAUGUGCGCGAGUCACUGGGUCCUGCGAAACCCAAGGGCGCAAUGAAAGUGAAGGGCCAGGCCUCUGGUCCGAGGUGGGAUCCCGGGCCCCGGCCCGGGCGCACCGCCGGCCCGUCUCGACCGCACCGUCGGUGAGGCGGCGCAGGAGCGUACACGUUGGGACCCGAAAGAUGGUGAACUAUGCUUGAGUAGGAUGAAGCCAGAGGAAACUCUGGUGGAGGUCCGUAGCGAUUCUGACGUGCAAAUCGAUCGUCAAACUUGAGUAUAGGGGCGAAAGACUAAUCGAACCAUCUAGUAGCUGGUUCCCU
rnacentral:rRNA from 1 species